rnacentral:rRNA from 1 species
AGAGUUUGAUCCUGGCUCAGGAUGAACGCUAGCGGGAGGCUUAAUACAUGCAAGUCGAGCGGCAAGUUGGGGAUAGCAAUAUUUCUGACCUAGAGCGGCGCACGGGUGAGUAACGCGUACACGACCUACCCUAUACUGGGGAAUAGCCUUGGGAAACUGAGAUUAAUACCCCAUGGUAUUGUUGUACUGCCUGGUAUGACAAUUAAAGUUGAGGCGGUAUAGGAUGGGUGUGCGUCUGAUUAGCUAGUUGGUAGUGUAACGGACUACCAAGGCGAUGAUCAGUAGGGGGCGUGAGAGCGUGACCCCCCACACGGGUACUGAGACACGGACCCGACUCCUACGGGAGGCAGCAGUAAGGAAUAUUGGUCAAUGGAGGAAACUCUGAACCAGCCAUCCCGCGUGCAGGAAGAAGGGGCUCUGCCUUGUAAACUGCUUUUGCAUGGGACGAAAAAGCGAGAUUUAUCUUGAACUGACGGUACCAUGAGAAUAAGCACCGGCUAACUCCGUGCCAGCAGCCGCGGUAAUACGGAGGGUGCGAGCGUUAUCCGGAAUCACUGGGUUUAAAGGGUGCGUAGGCGGUUGUAUAAGUCAGUGGUGAAAGGCCAUAGCUUAACUAUGGGAUUGCCAUUGAUACUGUAUAACUUGAGAGAGGUUGAGGUUGGCGGAAUGUGGCAUGUAGCGGUGAAAUGCAUAGAUAUGCCAUAGAACAUCGAUUGCGAAGGCAGCUGACUGGACCUUAUCUGACGCUGAGGCACGAAAGCGUGGGGAGCGAACAGGAUUAGAUACCCUGGUAGUCCACGCCCUAAACGAUGCUUACUCGUUGUUUGGCCUUCGGGCUGAGUGACUAAGAGAAAUCGAUAAGUAAGCCACCUGGGGAGUACGACCGCAAGGUUGAAACUCAAAGGAAUUGACGG